rnacentral:rRNA from 1 species
AUGGCGCAUUGCAGAACUAAGCUGGCCGCGUUUGUCUUCUCUUCCAGCACCGGAAAAUGGCAAGAAGCCACCAAGAGCGGGCCGACUGGUUUGGUCCUUGACAGGGGCGACUCGGCCAUACUGUCACGGAUCCACCCUCAUUUUCUCAUGCGCCAUUAUGCCUAUGGCUGCUUCUACUGGGACUGGCUUGUGACCGGGAGCAGAAAGUUGCUCAUGCUUGACACCAGGAGGAUGGAGUUCUCCUUUGCCGACCUCCCACCCGGAGAGUGGAGUAAACGUGUAGCCAUUGUGGAGGCAGGGGAAGGCAGGCCUGGGAUUUUUGGGUUCCAUGGUGAAAUUGCAUCUGAUCUCAGCUAUGCCAUUGCGCAAAAUACAGGCGAGAGUCCGAACCAGUGGCAAAUGUUGAAGACAAUAUCACUAGACCCUGGAUACAUAUAUUCUAUCGAUGCUGCAACGGGAAGGUACUUGCUAUUGGUAAGGACGGUGGCCUCUUCUCUAGGGAAUUUGGUAGAGAAUUCACUCGUCGAAUAUUUCUCAAUGGACGCCAAGAUGUUGCAGCUUCAGAGGGUUUGUACCAAACAAUGCUCGCUUAUGUAUAAUGGGACACACAUAUAUGCCGACUUUCCACCAUCGCUGUUGUCUUCACGGGCAAUAUAA